rnacentral:rRNA from 1 species
UACAGAGGUCUCGAGCGUUAGGCGGAAUCACUGGGCUUAAAGCGUGUGUAGGCGGAUCGUUAAGUGCCUUGUGAAAUCCCACGGCUCAACCGUGGAACUGCUUGGCAUACUGGCGGUCUUGAGCAACCUAGGGGCGAGCGGAACAAAUGGUGGAGCGGUGAAAUGCGUAGAUAUCAUUUGGAACGCCAAUGGCGAAGGCAGCCCCCUGGGGUAACACUGACGCUCAUGCACGAAAGCGUGGGGAGCAAACAGG